rnacentral:rRNA from 1 species
UUCCAGACUCCUACGGGAGGCAGCAGUGGGGAAUAUUGCACAAUGGGGGAAACCCUGAUGCAGCGACGCCGCGUGAGUGAAGAAGUGAUUCGUUAUGUAAAGCUCUAUCAGCAGGGAAGAAAAUGACGGUACCUGAGUAAGAAGCCUCGGCUAACUACGUGCCAGCAGCCGCGGUAAUACGUAGGGGGCAAGCGUUAUCCGGAUUUACUGGGUGUAAAGGGAGCGUAGACGGCAGUGCAAGUCUGGAGUGAAAGGCGGGGGCUCAACCCCCGGACUGCUCUGGAAACUGUACGGCUGGAGUGCAGGAGAGGUAAGUGGAAUUCCUAGUGUAGCGGUGAAAUGCGUAGAUAUUAGGAGGAACACCAGUGGCGAAGGCGGCUUACUGGACUGUAACUGACGUUGAGGCUCGAAAGCGUGGGGAGCAAACAGGAUUAGAUACCCCCGUAUG